AUGGAACACAACCUCCUCCAUCUCCAACCCCACAAUCCUCGUCAACCAAAGUUCCUGGUGCAACUCGUGCAGUUCCUGCUGCUUCUCCUGCCACAGAUGGAACACAACCUCCUCCACCUCCAACUUCACAAGGCUUGCCAUCAGUGAAUGUCAAAGAUCGCAAUAGAG